GGCAGACUGGGCUGGGGUCUGCUAGGCUUACCCGAGGCAAGCUGGGACGGGAUCCCUAAGAGGCGGCGUCUGCCAGGCAAGGAGGGGCGGGGGCACCGUGGACCGAAGCUUUCGCACACGGCGGGCUCCGGCCCACUCUAGCAGCAAAGGCGCCCGCGGGAGGCGUGAAUACCAUGGGCUCUUGCUCCGGCCGCUGCACCCUUCUUGCGCUCUGCGCUCUUCAGCUGGUCACUGCUCUGGAGCGGCAGGUGUUUGACUUCCUGGGCUACCAGUGGGCACCCAUCCUGGCCAACUUCAUCCACAUCAUCGUGGUCAUCUUGGGACUCUUCGGCACCCUCCAGUAUCGGCCACGCUACAUUGUGGUGUAUGCUGUGUGGGCAGCUGUCUGGGUUACCUGGAAUGUCUUCAUUAUCUGCUUCUACCUGGAAGUGGGGGGCCUCUCAAAGGACAGUGAGCUCUUGACCUUCAAUCUCUCCCAGCACCGCUCCUGGUGGAAAGAGCAUGGGCCAGGCUGUCUUCAUGAAGAGGCAGCCACAGCCGGCCUGGGAGCAAUGCAUGGCCAGUCCUUGGUGGUAGAUGCUGGAUGUGCCACGGUGUACAGCUAUAUGGAAGCCCUGCACAGUGGUCUGCAGAUCCUGCUGGCGCUCCUGGGUUUCGUCUAUGGCUGCUACGUGGUCAGCGUGCUCACAGAAGAAGAAGACAGCUUUGAUUUCAUUGGUGGAUUUGACCCAUUCCCCCUGUACCAUGUCAAUGAAAAGCCGUCCAGCCUCUUGUCCAAGCAGGCAUAUUUAUCACAUUUCCUUCUCUAAAGCAGUACCACGGCCCUACAGAUGCCAUGGCCAUGCCUGGGCUUCCUGGAAGUCUUGGAAUUGAGGCCUGCAUAAGUGAGAAAACAGUUGAGCCUCCCAGUUUCAGCCGCUGGAACAAUGAGGAGACUCCAGGCCUGGAGUCACAGCCCUGCUUCCCUGCCUGCCUAGCAUUCUUUCCAAAUUCCCCUUGGAUACCAGUGAGGGGCGGGGCACACUGCAGGCCAGGGUGGCUGCGACUGUGAGUUUGUAAUUUCUCUUUCUUUCUCUCUUCCUUUCUUUUUUCUUUCUCUCUUCCUUUCUUUUUUUCUAAAAAAAAAAAAAAGUAAGACAAGACAUGAGAGAAUACAGAAACAAACUGGAUCCCUGGUCUUCUUGGGCAACUGGCAGUGAACCUAGGCAGUUUUCCCAGGCGUCCCCAGAGUGCUCUGACCUGAGGUUACAGGACCUGCAGACCACACACCACGUAUGGAAAGGCUCAGCAGAGGACAAUGAGAAGGUUCAGUCCCAUCAGGAAGUCCCUAUGAGUCACCAAGAUCCAAGAGUGACAAAGGUCUUGAAUAAAUACUGCAGUACCCUAGCUGCAGAUCUUAUUCACGCAAAGGCCCUUGCCCCACUGAGGCCAGUGCAU